rnacentral:rRNA from 3 species
UUUGAUCCUGGCUCAGAUUGAACGCUGGCGGCAGGCCUAACACAUGCAAGUCGAGCGGAAACGAGUUAUCUGAACCUUCGGGGAACGAUAACGGCGUCGAGCGGCGGACGGGUGAGUAAUGCCUAGGAAAUUGCCUUGAUGUGGGGGAUAACCAUUGGAAACGAUGGCUAAUACCGCAUAACGCCUACGGGCCAAAGAGGGGGACCUUCGGGCCUCUCGCGUCAAGAUAUGCCUAGGUGGGAUUAGCUAGUUGGUGAGGUAAUGGCUCACCAAGGCGACGAUCCCUAGCUGGUCUGAGAGGAUGAUCAGCCACACUGGAACUGAGACACGGUCCAGACUCCUACGGGAGGCAGCAGUGGGGAAUAUUGCACAAUGGGCGCAAGCCUGAUGCAGCCAUGCCGCGUGUAUGAAGAAGGCCUUCGGGUUGUAAAGUACUUUCAGCAGUGAGGAAGGGGGUGUCGUUAAUAGC